GAGGGUAUAGCUGAGUGGUGGAGCACAAGCUCGGCAUGCACGAGUUCCUGGGUUCAAUCCCCAGUACCUCCA
rnacentral:tRNA from 1 species